ensembl:miRNA
AGGCAGCAAAUGGCCAGAGUUCAUACAGAGGGAUGAGUGCACUUCACCUGCAAUGUGACUCAGCAGGCCAACAGAUGCUA